rnacentral:rRNA from 1 species
UACGUAGGGACCAAGCGUUGUUCGGAUUUACUGGGCGUAAAGGGCGCGUAGGCGGCGCGGUAAGUCACUUGUGAAAUCUCUGAGCUUAACUCAGAACGGCCAAGUGAUACUGCAGUGCUAGAGUGUGGAAGGGGCAAUCGGAAUUAGUAGUGUAGCAGUGAAAUGCGUAGAUAUUACUAGGAACACCAAUGGCGAAGGCAGCUUGCUGGGCUACUCCUGACACUGAGGUACGAAAGCGUGGGGAGCGAACAGG